rnacentral:rRNA from 1 species
GACGAACGCUGGCGGCGUGCUUAACACAUGCAAGUCGAACGGUGAAGCUCCAGCUUGCUGGAGUGGAUCAGUGGCGAACGGGUGAGUAACACGUGAGCAACCUGCCCCUGACUCUGGAAUAAGCGCUGGAAACGGCGUCUAAUACUGGAUACGAGAAGGGUCCGCAUGGGCACCUUCUGGGAAGUUUUUCGGUUGGGGAUGGGCUCGCGGCCUAUCAGCUUGUUGGUGAGGUAAUGGCUCACCAAGGCGACGACGGGUAGCCGGCCUGAGAGGGCGACCGGCCACACUGGGACUGAGACACGGCCCAGACUCCUACGGGAGGCAGCAGUGGGGAAUAUUGCACAAUGGGCGAAAGCCUGAUGCAGCGACGCCGCGUGAGGGAUGACGGCCUUCGGGUUGUAAACCUCUUUCAGCAGGGAAGAAGCGAAAGUGACGGUACCUGCAGAAGAAGCACCGGCUAACUACGUG